UUUUUUUAAAUUUUCCUCUGCUUCAAUGUUUUUUAAAUUGCUGUGGUAUUUUGACUAUACAAAGGUAUUGAAAUAAGAUUUUAAUUGAAUGCUAAGAGAAUGGAAGUCCAGAAAAAAACUUUUUUUAAAUUAAAAAUUGAAGUUUUUUUAAUUUGUGCAGAAACAAUUAUUUAUAUUAAAGACAAGAAGACCCUAUGAAUUUAUUAAAUUUUUAUUUAAUAUGUAAUUACUAUUAGAAAAAUUUUGGCUGGGGCGGCUAGAAAAUAUUAUGAACUUUUUAAAAAUAAAAUGAUCCAUUAUUAAUGAUUUUAUGUUAAAUACUCUAGGGAUAACAGCGUUAUAUUUUUUGAUAGAUCAUAUUGACAAAAAAGUUUGCGACCUCGAUGUUGGAUUAGGAUACUUUUUUAAUGAAGAUAUAAAAAAAGAAGUUGUCACCGACC
rnacentral:rRNA from 1 species